GCUACAGAUACUACCAAUUAUUCACAUGACCUUUGUGUUGACUCCAACAGUCAAGUGCUGCAUCCUUCAGAAAUGCUGAAGAAAGCACAGAGAUUCCAUGGGUGGAGAACUUAAGAAGUGUGUCCAAGUCUACACAGCUGGUGAGCACUUUAAAAGCCCUGAGGAAAUGUUAACUUGGUGCUCUCCCCCUAACCCCUGUGAACCUCCAAAAAGUCUGCACGGAAACCCAUGGUCAAAGUCUGCAUGGAAACCCAUGGUCAAAGACUGCAUGGAAACCCAUGGUCAAAGACUGCAUGGAAACCCAUGGUCAAAAGUCUGCAUGGAGACUUUCUCUCUUGUCAGACACAUAUGCCUUUCUCAUCCUUACAAGGAAAGCAAGGUCUGGGGGCUGGAGAGAUGCUUUUGGGGUUAAUAGCACUUGUUGCUUUUAUAAAGGAGUCAAGCACUGACAUGGAGGCUCACAGCCAUCUUUAACUCCACAGGAUUUGAUGCUCUCUUGUGGCUCUGUGGGCAUGCACACAGUGUGGAGACAUACGUACAGACAAAACAUUCAUACAUGUAAAAAUCCUUAACAACCACAAAAAUAAUAAUGACAAUAGUCAUAAAACAAAGCAAUUUUUGGCUCCUGGCACAGCUUGGGGUGGAAGGGAGAUUGUGUUCUCAAGUUGGAGAGUACUACAGUAGUGUUAAUAUGAAACUACAAUUCUGUAACCUUCCUUUAUU
rnacentral:lncRNA from 1 species